GACGAACCGUGCGAACGUUGUUCGGAAUCACUGGGCUUAAAGGGCGCGUAGGCGGGCCAUAAAGUCAGGGGUGAAAUCCUCCAGCUUAACUGGAGAACUGCCUUUGAUACUGAUGGUCUCGAGUAAGGUAGGGGCAUGCGGAACUGAUGGUGGAGCGGUGAAAUGUGUUGAUAUCAUCAGGAACUCCGGUGGCGAAAGCGGCAUGCUGGACCUUCACUGACGCUGAUGCGCGAAAGCUAGGGGAGCGAACGGG
rnacentral:rRNA from 1 species